rnacentral:lncRNA from 1 species
CUGAUCCGACGGCUCGGGCUCAUUGUACACUGUGUUUUGGAAGUGUCUGAUUGUAGGGUGGCAUGUUUGGGGUUGUUCCUUGUAGGCCGCAGAACUCGUGUCUCACUUCUAACUCCCGACCUGCUUUAAAAACACACUUUUUUGGGGGGAGGGAGGGGGUACAUUUAACUUUAACAAAUACAAACUUUACAACAUACAAACUUUAACUCAUACAAACUUUAGAGCAAACUUUCUGUUACUCUCCCCACCCUCCCCCUUCCUUUUUCUAAAUGGAAAAGAAUGUCCGGAGGGGUUGUCAGAUAGAAGACUACACUUACAAAGUGUUUAUGAUUCCAGGUGCAUGAAAUCUUUAAUAUUACAGGGUGAUGACAACUCCGUGAGGGUGGAGAUUAUAUGUCUCAUCAUUUCGGCAACAAGGAAAUAAAUUAGUGGCAGAGUGAGGGUGACUUGGUGAGUACAUCCAAUUGUUGACAUAGUUUUGGGUAGGAGAAAUUUUGCUAUUAUAUCAACUUAACUUCUUAAAAUGGUCUAAUGGGAUUAACUUGAUUUCAAUUCACAGAGAUCUCCUGGAAGCGAGGAUCCUUUAAAAAUCCUGGAAUAUACACUGCAGUAAAAGAACAAAGCAUACCUCAGCCUUAAACUACUGAAGAAGAAUGUCAAGUGGGGAAGUGGCUUUGGUUUUGAGUUUGUGGGUUCUGAAUCCACACAAAGACAGGACUGCAUUCUGAAAACCUGAAUUAAUUAUUGUCCUUACCUCAAUAAGACAAAAAAUUAUAAUCAAAAUCAUUAGUAUUACAGUCACAGAUAUUGCCAAGAUGAGUCUGUUGUUAUAGCCAUAUCCUGGAACUUCUUUCGUGAGCUAAAAAAAAAAAAAAAAAAGGAAAGAACAAUUAAAAAAAAAAGAAAAGAAUGAAGCUAACUUUUCAAUAACCCCAGUAUUCCAGGUUUGAGUAGCUUACAGUUUCUUUUUUAUUUUUUUUGAGACGGGUUUCACUCUGUCACCCCCAGGCUGGAGUACAGUGGUACGUCACAGUUCACUACAGACUCUACCUCCCUGGGCUCAGGUGGUCCUCCCACCUUCAGCCUCCCGAGGUAGCUUGGGACUAAGCACGUGUCAACCCACACCCA